GACGAACGCUUGCGGCGUGCCUAAGAAAUGCAAGUCGAGCGGGGGAGCAAUCCCUAGCGGCGAACGGUCGCGUAACACGUAGGCAACCUGCCCGAGAGACCGGGACAACACUCCGAAAGGGGUGCUAAUACCGGAUGCGGCCACCCUGGUGAUGCCGGGGUGAUUAAAUCCCUUCGGGGGCUCUUGGAGGGGCCUGCGGCCUAUCAGCUAGAUGGUGGGGUAACGGCUUACCAUGGCGACGACGGGUAGCUGGUCUGAGAGGAUGGUCAG
rnacentral:rRNA from 1 species